CAGGUAAAAAUCAAUAAAACCCUACCUAAAACAAAAAUCUCCGAUCAAAACCGUCAUGGCACCACCGUCUGCCGCCGACGCCGGAAUUCCGACACCAAAAAAGUCGUUAGGUUUCGUCGCUAACGCAAUCAAACAAAAACACAGCUUCAUCCAGUUCUUCGCCAUGACUGGAAUCUUCCUGCUGAGCAUGCGAUCGGUAGGUCAAAAAUACCGAAUUCAGGAUCUAGAGGACGAUACCGCCACUUUGGAGAAAGAACACAAUUCACUCACCGAUCGCAUGAAUCACAUCAAGAAUAGUCUUCUCGCUGAAGCAGAUCUGGAUUCCACCGGUACUUUCGCCGCAAAGCUCCGUGUUCUGUUUAGCGACAGUUAAUUAUAUAUAUUUGUGCGAUGAGGCUGCAAAAAAAGAAAGAUAAAAGGGGAAGGUCUACGCCGAUGGCUUUUACAAAAUUCUCACCUACAUGCACUGAUGAACUACGACUAGAACUCUAGAAGAUGUGGCUGAUGAUUUGGACUAACUAGAAGAUGGUGACUGUGUUGCUAAUAUUAACUGUAUGAAUUGUUUCCAUCUUCAUCUCGGAAGUAUAAAGAUUUUGCUAGAGAUUUACAUUCACAUAUCCAAAAUUUACUUUAAUCAAUAAUCACAAAUGGUCUUUCGAUUGGUCAAGACUUGGUUGACAGAAGUCAUUCGCCUAGGUGCUACUUGUUUUGGUACCACAUUCAUUGCCUUGAAAGCUUGUAUGAUCAUAAAUAUGAUUUGCAAGUUAUGAUCGCCUCUUAAUGCCUGUAAGAAGGUUUUGGAAUAAAGUUAAAUUUGUUAUCUUGAA